rnacentral:rRNA from 1 species
GACGAACGCUGGCGGCGUGCUUAACACAUGCAAGUCGAACGGAAAGGCCCUGCUUUUGUGGGGUGCUCGAGUGGCGAACGGGUGAGUAACACGUGAGUAACCUGCCCUUGACUUUGGGGUAACUUCAGGAAACUGGGGCUAAUACCGGAUAGGAGCUCCUGCUGCAUGGUGGGGGUUGGAAAGUUUCGGCGGUUGGGGAUGGACUCGCGGCUUAUCAGCUUGUUGGUGAGGUAGUGGCUUACCAAGGCUUUGACGGGUAGCCGGCCUGAGAGGGUGACCGGCCACAUUGGGACUGAGAUACGGCCCAGACUCGUACGGGAGGCAGCAGUGGGGAAUAUUGCACAAUGGGCGGAAGCCUGAUGCAGCAACGCCGCGUGCGGGAUGACGGCCUUCGGGUUGUAAACCGCUUUCGCCUGUGACGAAGCGUGAGUGACGGUAAUGGGUAAAGAAGCACCGGCUAACUACGUG